rnacentral:lncRNA from 1 species
UUUUAAUUAAAAUACUCGGAAUGCGAGAUAAAAAAAAAAUGAGACACAAAAUUUUUGAUUCGAUUCUUGAAAAAGUUAACGAACGAAGAAUUAGAUUUCCAUAAGGAAAUCUAUAUUCUUUCAUACGUUAUAUUUCUGCACUAAUCAUUCAUGGAAAUACAAUAAUUCUUCUUAUAUCAGUUUUCCUGAUAUUAUAUCUCUCAAUCGUAAUAAAACACUAGUUACGGAUCAUAUUACGUAUUCAUUUAUAAAUCGAACAAAAUAAUCUGUUAUGAUUAUUUUAUUUCCAACUACUUCGAAAAAUAAACUAAUUUUUCUUGAUCGACGGACAGGGAAACACGUCGUUCUAUGAUUUAGAUUUCUUUUAUUUCCGAAGCUUUGUAUGCACAUAUAACGAUCAACGGUGUAACAAUACUAUCUCUGCCGAUCGCAAUCAAGAAACUCUCUUUUUUUUCUCUAAUUCUUUCUCUCUCUCUCUCUUUUUCUCUUUCGUACGUGCACGCAUCCACAUUUUUCCUCUUUCUCUCUCUUUUUCCUUCGACAAAGUCAAACACCCAUUCCCUCAAUUCCUUUAUUAUAUAUUUCCUAAUUUCUUGCGCAUUAUGCAAAGUGAAUAAUCGGUAUCUCCACCGUGGAAAUACAUCUCGUUACACACGUAAUUUUGUAAUCGAGCAAUGAGUCUUGCUCUAUGAAAAUCGUCCUGGAGACCGCUCGCUCGAACAUAAGUUCGAGAAGAACGCUCGUAUAAUACUGUUUUGGUUUUGCCUUCGAAUGAAACACAUCGCAUUAUGUUAUCGAAUAUUUCUAACAACGUCGUUCCUCGACAUCGAAAUAAGAAACGAUUCUAGCGAAUUUUAUUAUUAUUACUUUUUAGUUUCUUCUUUCAUUUUUUUUUUUUCUUUUCUUUUAAACGCGACAUUGACAUAGAAAUUAUCUCCUUUUAGAUUUUUUCCCCUAGAAAUUUUCGUAGAAUUUUUUUUUCUUAGUAGAAUUAGAGACGAAGCGUAGAGAAGUAUAAUAAAGUUUCUCUUGGAAGAUAGAAAUCGUUCUUUAAGAGCGAAGAGUUUUUUAAUCUAAGAAUCUUUGCUGCGUUUUGUGAAGGUCUCGUUGGGUCUCGUAUACACUGACGAGUAAUAAUUAAUACUGGUGAUUAUUUAAUAGAUAUUGUAAUUAAUACUCCCUGCAAAUAGUGAUGACAUACUUAUUUUUCCAAAGGUAAAAAAUUUCAGGAUAAAUAUCAUCUAUAAUACAAGUUACAGAUUAUUAUGUUUCGUCAAAAGAAUAUUUAUGGAAUAUAUUACGUCCUUUAAACUAUGAGCUCUUCACUCGUCAGUCUACACGUAUCCUUACGAUUCUAAGCGUUCUUACUCGAAGACACUAGUAAAAAGUAUCCACCUUUCAAAUUCUCGAGAACGAACCAUGAAAUAUAUGCGUGCAAUCGACGAAUCGCUCGAUACAGUGUGACCUAUAAAAAAUCUAUGUCUUUCUCGAACAUGCAGUAAAGCAUCGAUUCGAUGAUGAUUACGAAGGAAGCUGCUAAGAGAACGUCUUUUUUUUUUCUUUUUCUUUUUUACGAUGUACAAACUCUUCCAGGCGGGAAGAGGCUUUAGCCUGAAUUAUUAUUUAUAUUACAUAUAUAAGUGUCGUUUACAUUAUAAACACGCUAAAUACCUGAGAGAAAACGUGAUCACGAGCGUGUGUCGACUGAUUAUCGUCUGACAUUAUUUCCAUUACUUUUACAAAGAUAUAGAAUGCCAAACGUUUUCGUUGCUAGCCGACUAUGUAAUUCGCUACGUUCUCACGAUAGAAAUAUUAUAUAUAUCGAAAAUUUCGAUGAUAUUCUUAUGCGAUAAGAGCGGUGCAAUCGGUAAAAAAGUAAACGCUCAAAGAGACAUCGAUUAUGGAAUUUCUUUCUCGUCGAGUUUAUGGAAAAUCUUAACAUCGAUCUACUGCACGAAAAAUCUAUAAAUAUAAUUCAUCGAUAAGAUGAAUUUCGUCGAACAAUGUCUGUUUUUUUUUUUUUUUUGCAUAGUCGAUAAAUUGUACAAUUUAUUUCAUAUUCAGAUUGUAUAAUAUAGAUGAGAUGAAUAAACGAGAUAAUGCUUUUUUGUAAAUGACGCAUGUUAAUUGUCGAAUCGAGAAAGAUGAUAAUACGAUGAUACAAUAGUGUCUCAUUUAUCCAAAUUAUAUUACGAAACUAUUCAAAAGGAACGAGAAAUGAUAAUAAAAAAAAAAUUGGUGAACUUUUAUCAUAUGAAAUCCUACAUAUCCAACAUAACCUAUUUGAUUCUCGAUAGGUUCAGAUAAAUGACGCGUUCUAAUGUAUCUACUAUGUUUCUUAUUUUCCAGUCGAUAUAAUCUACUGAAUACCUCGAAACUGAAGUUAUAUCAGCGUUAUAUUGAAUACCUUUCUUCUGUUCUGUCCAUUUGUAUAUUUAUUUAAUUGAUGAAUAAAAAAAUAUUAUUAAUAUUAAAUAUCGCGGGAGAAUACACAUACUUCACAUGUCACUGGUAACGCCCUUAUAAUUGCGAACGCGGCGCCUAUGUCCUACUAACGAAUGCAGAUCGUAUUGUACAAAGUCAGUCGCUGCUCGGGAAUGGUAAAAGACGAUGUCACCGAUGAUUUAUGUCACGUUAUACGUAUUAUACGUACAUGCUUACGAAGCUAUUUUUUAAAAAUGUAAAUCUUUCACUCUCCCCUCACUCUCAUAGUCUUAAUCACAAGAGGAGGAAGCGGCGAGGAACAAGGAAAAGCUGCUUACCGGAGGAUAAUUACUUUCAAAAUAACCCAUCAAAUGUACGACGUUACCGCGUGGAAAAAACCGACAUAACCUCUAAAGUAUACCUACGUAAUAAAAAUUGCUUCCAGGCAUAUCAUACGACCAAUUAUGAGAUCAAAGUAAGUCUUAGUGGAUUAUAAGAAAUAUAUUUUAUACAGAAUGAAGAUUCGAAAUAAUUCCAAAUAAUUUCGAUCCCACUACUAGUCGAAACAUGCGUUGAGGCAAGUCUUAUUGUAUAGAUAUUACAAUAGAUAUUAUUGUAAAAGUAUUUCAGUGUAUGAAUUCAUUUGUAUUCAGGUUAUAAAUUCAUUUUAAAGUAAAUUCUCAAGAAGUUUCGAGAAGCUAUCGAAAAUACUUUUUACAGGUAAGAAAACUGCAUUGACAAUGUAACCUAAAAUAACUUUCACAAUAUCCAUUUGUCAAAAAUAAUUCUCGAGAACAAUUUUAGUUUUUUUUUUUAUUACCAAAUGAAUUCAAACCUUAACAAAAUAUCACUUCGUGUUCUCGAUAGUUAUUUCAAUGCUGUGAACGUUUUAUUUAACGAAAUCACGUGCAAUUCGUGCUCGAACAAUGUUCUAUCAAGAACAAAGAUAUUUCGAUUCCUCUUCUGGGUCAGUUGUCUUUAUUUCCUAUUCUAAAUAGGAGCGCUUAACCGCACGUCAUGAUAAAGGAACGUACCAUUUAUGUCUCUCGCUGAACUCUCGAUCAAAUGGCGAAUUACGGUUAAUGAACGUAUGAAUCAAAGCGAAUUGUGCGCGGUUACGGAAUCGCGAUUACAUUUAAGGUCAGCUCUUGUGUUGGGAGUAGUUUUCAAUCAGUCAGCUUAAUUCCACGCUUGGAAUUCGAUUUUCACGCAUGCCGGGGAAACUCGGUGCGAUUCGAGGUCGAAGUGGGUUUGCAUUUAUAUAUGUAUUUAUGUAUGUAUACGUGUAUGUUUGAGCACGUACGUUUACUAACGUAUUUUGUUGGAAGAUGCUGCGCCGUAAAUUCUGUAAGCAGAUUGUGACAUCGUGUUGCAAUACGAAAAGCAUAAGACUGGAUGUGAAUAAUAAUAUAUGUAUAUUAAUGUAAUAUACAAUAAAUGUUUGUGUAAGAUUAAAACGUAAUAAUGUUUAAUGACCAUUUUCUUUUAAUCGCUCUACGAUUUUUCUAUAUUUUUCCUUCUUUCUAAUUAAUGAUAUGUAACAAAUACAAGCAAGGAGCAUGAAUUUUAGACCAACGUUCCUGUGCCUUUCACAUCGUCUAACCUCUCCAUGACAAUGAGAACGUAAGAAUAAUAAAAUUGAUGAGAAGAUCCCAGAUAGCAAUCGAUGCUUUAAAGAUGUUCACAUAAUUAUCUCCAAGGAUAUUAGUGUAAGAUUGAAUUUAAGAAUAUCAUAUAAAUAUAAUUAUUCUUAUGCUAAUAUAUAUAAUUAAAAAAAAUUGCUUUGUAAUUUCUUUUUUAAAAUGUUUUUCCAAAAAAACUUUUCUCUUUGCUGUCUGGGACACGAGCACGAGUAGAAAUGGCUGGAGGGUGAGACGGACUAAAUAAACAAAAUCAAGUGUACAAAUAAAUAUAAAACGUAUAUUUAAAUUAAAUGCCACAAAGUAUCUUGUUGUAUGUUCUUGCGUCAUGAACGAAGUCAGAGCUGUACUAGAUUUUUUUUUCUUCCGCCUCAUUUGCUUCUUCUCUUCAUAUUCUUUCCCUCCACGUGAAAUUACAGUGCUCUGAGACGACGAACGAACGUAUUAUCUAUGCAUACACACGCGUCAUUUUAUACGCGGAAUAACGGAAAAAAAAAAAAAAAAAAAA